CCUACGGGUGGCAGCAGUGGGGAAUAUUGCGCAAUGGGCGAAAGCCUGACGCAGCGACGCCGCGUGAGGGAUGAAGGUCUUCGGAUCGUAAACCUCUGUCAGCAGGGAAGAACGGUCACUGUGCUAAUCAGCAGUGAAUUGACGGUACCUGCAAAGGAAGCACCGGCUAACUCCGUGCCAGCAGCCGCGGUAAUACGGAGGGUGCGAGCGUUAAUCGGAAUUACUGGGCGUAAAGCGCUCGUAGGCGGUAUGUCAAGUCAAGGGUGAAAUCCCCGCGCUCAACGUGGGAACUGCCUUUGAAACUGGCAAACUGGAGUGUGUGAGAGGAUAGAGGAAUUCCAGGUGUAGGAGUGAAAUGCGUAGAUAUCUGGAGGAACAUCAGUGGCGAAGGCGACUAUCUGGCACAUAACUGACGCUGAGGAGCGAAAGCGUGGGUAGCAAACAGGAUUAGAUACCCUAGUAGUC
rnacentral:rRNA from 1 species